rnacentral:rRNA from 1 species
CCUACGGGUGGCAGCAGUAGGGAAUCUUCCACAAUGGGCGAAAGCCUGAUGGAGCAACGCCGCGUGGGUGAAGAAUGUCUUCGGAUCGUAACACCCUGUUGUUAGAGAAGAAAGUGCGUGAGAGUAACUGUUCACGUUUCUCCGGUAUCUAACCAGAAAGCCACGGCUAACUACGUGCCACCAGCCGCGGUAAUACGUAGGUGGCAAGCGUUAUCCGGAUUUAUUGGGCGUAAAGGGAACGCAGGCGGUCUGUUAAGUCUGAUGUGAAAGCCUUCGGCUUAACCGGAGUAGUGCAUUGGAAACUGGGAGACGUGAGUGCAGAAGAGGUGAGUGGAACUCCAUGUGUAGCGGUGAAAUGCGUAGAUAUAUGGAAGAACACCAGUGGCGAAGGCGGCUCUCUGGUCUGUAACUGACGCUGAGGUUCGAAAGCGUGGGUAGCAAACAGGAUUAGAUACCCUAGUAGUC